rnacentral:misc_RNA from 1 species
CAGAGUUACUAAACUCCCAAACCAUUGUGAACUUACCUAUGUUGCCUCGGUGGUGGCUUACCCUGUACUUACCCUGUAGCCACCCUGUAGCUACCCGGUACUUACCCGGUAGCAGCCGCCGGUGGAUCUUCAAACUCUUGUUUAAUUAUAAGCAUUCUGAGUAAUUACUAUAAUAAGUUA